AAAACGAUGAAUGCCAAAGACUCUGAUCCGUAUGUCUGUCAGUGGUAUAAAAAAGUAUACUCAUCCCUGUGCCCUUCUUUUUGGGUUGACAACUGGGAUGAACUUAGGGAAAAUGGCUGUUUUCCAGGCAAAAUCUGAUGGUCUUUUGUCUGCCAGUAGCUCCCCCUACUCAGGAUGUUGCACUGCUGACUCCUUUCUAUGUGUACAUCUGAAGGAUUGUCUGAAAUGGCUCUUGUCUGCUUAAGCAUCUGAAUCAUUCAAUAGUACAAAAUCUUGGAUAUUACCCAUUCUAAUAAAAUGCAUAAUACCCA